UGCCACUUUUGUAUUUUAUUGUGGAACUGAGUUUUUUUUUUUCCUUUACAUCAAAUAUCCUCAAUGGAAGAGGGGAUAUUGCACACAAAUAUCAUAAAAGCACUACAUAUUACUUUCACUGGAAACUAAUUUUCUACAUUAGAUAUGACUGGAUAGGAUAGAACUGCAGACUGACACAAACACCAUUCAGAACAAGAGAGAGGAGUGUGAAGUGCUUCUCAGCCGGGCUCAAGACCACUUCUUUCCAGUGCUGGAAAGAGGGGCUGCAUGCAGUGUAGGAAAAGCGUGUCUCUGAACUGCCACAGGGUGUUCUCGAAAGGGCAGCCCGGUCUUGGUGCCACUUCUCCAUGGCUCCUGUUUUGGGGAGCUCCAAACAAGUGCAGAGAAGCUGCCUAUUUUUUCCCUUCCUUUUCAGUUUUUGAUGCUGCCUUUAAAAAUCAACUUCAUGAAGUCACAGAUUUUUUAACAGUAAAUAGUUUUAAUACCAGGUGAAUAACCUAAUUGCUUUCAAAGAAAUGCUCAUCCCUAGGCUGCUUUUGGUGUAUUGUUCAGUUGGUUAAAAGAUAAAAGCUUACAGUUCCUUUCAAAUGGAAACAGGAUCUUUUCUUCUAAAUCUGAAGCACAAAAAAAAAAAGUUAUUAUCCUAACUCACAAUAUCAUUACUGAGCAGGAACCUCCUGUGACAGGUGACUAAAGAGAGGCAAGAAAAGCAAAUUCAGAAUUGUAGAGCAGCUCCUAAGAGCUGAAAUUUGGUAAUAGAGGGAAAAUGAAAGGUGGUAAGAUUUCCAUUAGCAAAUGAUUAAAUCUUAAUUAAAUGAGUAUUGGAAAGCUCCUAGACUGCAUAAGCUAUUGGAGACACUUAAAACAUUCAUAUACACUGGGGAAACCAUUCACUAUGAUAUGUAACGUUAAGAAAAAAAAUUUCUUUGAACUCCAUGGAAAAUAGUGUUUAAAGAGGGGAGGAGGGGAAGUUAGUCAUUGUAUCCAGUCCCACCACAAGACUGAGAAAGCAUGCACAGGGCUCAGGGUUUUGAGAAAGGGGACAGAAUUGGUUAAAAUUGAAAAUGGAGGAUCAUCUCUAACAUUUAGUCUCUGUAGAAUUUUGUUUAAGAAUACUACCAAAAAGGUCAUGAUCAUGAGUGCUAUCUCGAUAGAAUCCCAUCAUUUAAACAGAGUGUAAAUUCCUUCCACUCAAAUAUUCAAUCUAUACAAUUGGAUUAAGUAAUCAGUAUGAACAAAGCUCCUAGAAGUCUGUGUCGAUCUUUAGCUCUCACCAUAAAUGUACAUGGUACAUUGUGAUGGCUGUUACUAAACUAAUCGUGUAUUUAUGGAACUAGCAAAAUUAGGUUAGUCACACAGGCAGGAAAGGUGUCUGGAAGGACAGGAGCAACCUGUAAUGCGAAUAUUGGUUUUCUUGGUAUACUCAGGCUCUGUGGUCAUUAUUGAGAACAAUGGAUGGAGAAAGGUACUGAUAGAUUUCAUAGGAAAAAGAGCCAGCUGACUAGUGACAGUUUUUACAUAUUUUUCCCAUUAAAUCCCAUAGCAAAAAAAAAAAAAAAAAGAGAGAGAGAGAGAGAGAGAAAUUGAGGAGGGUGGAGUGGUUAUAACUGAAGACUGGCUAUAAUUCUCCUACAAUGUUUAUAGUUUGUAAAGCAAAAUAAUGUUCAUGUUAAAUACAUUUAAUUUGUGAAAUUGGAAAAUAACUUGCAUCUUCUGUCAAAGAAAAAUCAACCAGAGGUCUGGAUUUGGCAAGAAGGCUAAAAAUCUGGUUUUCUUCCCACGCAUUAUGUAGACCAAUUCAACUUAAGAGCUAACCAUUAAAUAAUUAUCUUGAGUAUCUUAGGUUGUCUUAUAAAAUAAAUUUGAAGUAGAUCAGUUUAUACUCAAUGAAAUUCAUUUGCGUCACAAUGACUUUUCCAUCAUGUGUUAAUUUCUUGUACCCUUAAUAUGUUAUUUUUCAAGGACUUGAAAGAAGUGGGGUAAUAAAUAAAAGCUGCAUUUCUAGAGAAGCCUAACAAAAAUAGAAUAUUAAUUUUCUUUAAAAAAUUAAACAUUUGAAAAAUGUAAUUCACAGCAUUAAGUAGACUGCAUAGGUCCUCAGUGAAAGGACCCUGAAGAAGCAUUUUUUUAAACCCUCAUCGUAGUUAGCAGUGCAAAACGUAGACUUAUCAGACAAAAAUAAACUAAAAUGUUAAUUUUGAAAUAAAUAACUAACAUAGAAAAUAAAAUGAGGUCAUUGUUCUCUACUCCGUAGAUCUUAGAGUCUGCAGGAAAUGUAAUGUGACAGAGCACAGCACAGUUGUCACGGAGAAGUUUGCCGCAUCUGAACACUGGGUGCAUUGAUCUGCAACUUGAAACUUGAUGUCAGUUUUAAUCAUAAUCUGGCUUCCCAGGUUCACAGUUCAAUGAUGACAAUGAUGGAAAUUUUCUCUAAACUCUACAUGAACCGUAGGAGUUGAGAAUUCAUUUGUUUUCAAUGUACUAUUUCUUUUAUUUUUUUUCCAGAAAAGAAAAUCCCAAAGCAAAUUUGUGCUAGGGUUCUUUGAACUUGGCUCUUUUACCUCAUGGUUGAAGAUCUUGAAAGAAGUAUGUAGGAUACCACUGGGUGAUGUACUUGUCAAGGCCCUGAAAAGUAGCCUACCAUGCCAUUCUCCCCCACUCUCAAGUAGCACUUUUAUGUUAUGGGAAUCAAGGGGUGGGAGGUAACAUUAUUCCUGGUAGUUAUGGGUUUUUAAUAAAUAUCAUUACUGCAAUAUCAGACUUCAAUCUUGCCAGAACUUCAAAAAACAUUAUUCAAUUUUUGUCUUACGAAACACUUAAAAAAAAGACUAUCACUUGAGAAUUUUCUCUGCAAUUUCAUGUAAAUGAAAACGUGUUAAAAAGUUCAUCUAUGAAAAGUUCUCACAUAUCUUAAAAAAAAAAUUCUUCUGUACACUUGUUCCCAUUAUUAUGUUGAAAUUAAUGGAAAAUUUAAAAAGCCAAUGUAAGACAAAGGAAGGUAAAUACUGUACACUUGCUGAGAACCUCUUCCACCAUAAAAUUCACUGUUUUCCCAGUUCUGAUCAUAGAAGCCAUUUCAGUCUUGAACUUGCAGUAGUAAAGAAGCUGUGAAAGGCACAACUUGUUUGACUGAGAGGCCACAGGUGCACUGAAGUGGGAUUCAACACGCAUGACUCAGCAUCAAACUGUUGGACCAAUCAGAUCAGCUUCUAGUACCCCCACACACGCUCACCCACGUGCUCCUUUAAGUAUCUAUAAUCCUAUGUGGAUGUUUUAUAAACUUGCUGUCUCACAUUAAAAAAUAAGUGCAUCAAGUAUCUUUGUACAUUCAAGUCACUUCCUAAGGCAAAUUGUCUACCAUAUGUACUCCCAACUGCUUUGGUAUUUGCUUCAGUUAAUUGGGGUGGACUUGGGUGUUGCUGCAUGCAGGUUAAUCGACUCAGAGUGGACUAAGUGGGUGGACAAAUGCUGGGAGCAUGCCUUAGAUCAAUCUACUUGUGUGUUUAGAGUCUG
ensembl:lncRNA